rnacentral:rRNA from 1 species
UACGUAGGGGGCAAGCGUUGUCCGGAUUUAUUGGGCGUAAAGAGCGUGUAGGCGGCCAUUCAGGUCAGCUGUGAAAACUCGAGGCUCAACCUCGAGACGUCGGUUGAAACCGUUUGGCUAGAGUCCGGAAGAGGAGAGUGGAAUUCCCGGUGUAGCGGUGAAAUGCGCAGAUAUCGGGAAGAACACCCGUGGCGAAGGCGGCUCUCUGGGACGGUACUGACGGUGA